rfam:Calypte anna contig68078, whole genome shotgun sequence.
ACCCAGGCUCUCUUGGGAGCCACUUUAUAUAUAUUGGGAAGGAAUA